rnacentral:rRNA from 1 species
UUCCUGUUUAUCCUGCAGGAGGUUGCUGCUUUCAGAAUCCCGCUUAGGCAUGCAAGUCUAGGGGCCUUCGGGUCACUGGCGAACUGCUCAGUAACACGUCGAUAAUCUUCCUUUGAGCCUGGAAUAACCUUGGGAAACUGAGGCUAAUACCAGAUAAGGAAAAACAACUGGAAUGUGUUUUUCCUCAAAGCUUCGGCACUCAAAGAUGAGUCGGCGGCCCAUCAGGUUGUUGGCGAGGUAAUGGCUCACCAAGCCUACGACGGGUAAGGGCCUUGAGAGAGGUUGCCUUGAGAGGGACACUUAGAUACUGGUCCCAGCCCCACGGGGUGCAGCAGCUAGGAAAACUUUACAAUGCACGUAAGUGUGAUAAGGGGAUUCUGAGUGCUCAAGCAUAGCUUGGGCUUUUGCCAAGAGUAAACAUCUUGGCGAAUAAGCGGUGGGCAAGACUGGUGCCAGCCGCCGCGGUAACACCAGCGCCGCAAGUGGGAACCGCUAUUAUUGGGUCUAAAGCAUCCGUAGCCGGCUUAGUAAAUCUCCUGUGAAAUCGGCCAGCCUAACUGGUCGGCGCGCAGGAAAGACUGCUAAACUUGAGACCAGGAGAGGUUAGAGGUAUUCUGUGGGGAGCGGUAAAAUGCUAUAAUCCACAGAGGACCACCGAUGGCGAAGGCAUCUGACCAGAAUGGAUCUGACGGUGAGGGAUGAAAGCCAGGGGAGCGAUCCGGAUUAGAUAUCAAAAAUUCUGCGAAUUUUUGGACUUCACUCGCUAAAUGCUCGUGAAGUAUCGACAAAUUCCUAUGAUCGAAAUAAAAACUGCUAUAGGAAAAAUCGAGCUAACAUCAGAAUUUUUGACUAAUUACCCGAGUAGUCCUGGCUGUAAACGCUGUGUGCUAGAUGUUGCACAAUCUCCGAGAUUGUGCAGUGUCGGAACGAAGGUGAUAAGCACACCACCUGGGGAGUACGGUCGCAAGGCUGAAACUUAAAGGAAUUGGCGGGGAGGCACUACAACGGGUGCGGCGUGCGGUUUAAUCGAAUUCGACGCCGAGAAUCUUACCGGGGGCGCCGGCAGAAUGAAAGUCAGUCUGAAGGGCUUACUAGACGAGCCGAGAGGUGUUGCAUGGCCGCCGUCAGCUCGUGCCGCGAGGUGUCCUGUUAAGUCAGGCAACGAGCGAGACCUGUAUCCAUAUUUGCUAACGUGUCAGCAAUGAUGAGCGAGCACAAUGUGGAAACUGCCUUGGAAACGAGGAGGAAGGCGCAGGCUACGGUAGGUCCGUAUGGCCCGAAUCUCCCGGGAUACACGCGCGCAACAAUGAUAGGGACAAAGGGAUGCAACUCUGAAAAGAGAAGCCAAACCUCAAAACCCUACCCAAGUAUAGAUUGAGGAUUGAAACUCAUCCUCAUGACAACGGAAUCCGUAGUAAUCGGAGUUUAGCACAUUCCGGUGAAUAUGUCCCUGCCUCUUGCACACACCGCCCGUCAAACCAACCGAGCAGGCUUUAGAUGAGUUUCAUUGAGUAAAUGAAUCGAAUCUAAGGUCCGUGAGGUGGGUUAAGUCGUCACAAGGUAUCCGUAGGGGAACCUGCGGAUGGAUCACCUCCUU